AUUCCAGCGGUGUGGCUAAGAAGCAGCUCCUCUCUCUUUGCAAAGCGCUGGGCUGGGGCUGCUGCUGCUGGUGUGAGCCUGUCCUUCCACUUCCGAGCUCUGGCAGCCAGGAGAAGAUCUGAUCGCCCCGCCGGGUCCCUUUGGGAGGGAGGAAGGAAGGAAGGAAGGAAGGAGGGAAGGAAGGAAGGAGGCAGGCAGCCAGGGGAAGAGAAAAGGAGCAAAGCUAAGCAGCAGCAGCCGCCUCCUGCCUCCUCCAGACAGAGCCAGCCGGCGGGGACCGCUUGGGCUCUGCUCCUCUCCUUGCGAUCCGGAGGAGGAGGGAAAGGGGUUUGGUUCCGCAGCAUCCUGAGGACCAUUUCCAUAGUAACCUGCUCCAAGGGGGAUGGGGUGGGUCUCCCCGACCUUUCCAGGAUGGCAUUUGACAGAAUUCACAAAGGGCCCACUCCCAACAUGCAUUUCUAUUGCUGAAACCACACUGGAAUGAAUGGCGGGUGGAAAAGAACAUGGUAAGGUAAUAAUAAAAACUUUAUUUUUAUAACCCACCUCCAACUUCUUGAAGGAACUCAGGGCGACUUACAUGGGGACCAAGCCCAGCAUAAACAAGAAUUCAAAGGCACAAAAUCAAAUCCAUAUAGCAAAUAACAGUACAAUUAAAACAAUUAAAAACUGAAAAAGUAAAAACAUCAUAAUAUACAUCAGUCAACAUCACACCCCAGUAACUGGAAAAAGUGGGCAUGUCCAAUUUGAGAGACAAGGGCAAGGCUUGUGCAAAUCGCAACAAAAGAGUCAGAGCUGGGAAUAAAGUGUUGGAAAACCGGAACAAGGAAUAAAUUAAGGCUGGGCAGGCAUAAUUGCAAGCUAAACUGUAUUUGCAUAGCUUCCAUUCAUUUUAGUGUUGCUUGUCUAUACAAAUUUUCAGAUGGUAUUAAGGAUAUGUGGGCCAAAACUAUUAGUAAAACUCUUUACUAAUGGUGAAACACCCCCUAUCUUCAUUUGUUCCAUAGUUGCACCAUGUACUCUCUUGUAAGCCGGGGAGAUAGGAUUCAGAUAUUUAAUCUAGCUUCAAGAGAGCCAACGUGGUGUUGUGGUUUGAAUGUUGGACUACAACUCUGGAGACCAGAGUUCAACUUCUCACUGGAUCAUCUUGCAAGUUACAUUCUCUCAGCCUCAGAAGGGUGCAAAUGCAACCCCCUCUGAACAAAACUUGUCAAGAAAAUCCUGUGAUAAAUUUGUCUUAAGGGUCUCCAUAAAUCAGAAAUGACUUAAAGGGACACAACUUUGACAAUAAUUCUAGCCUAUACACAUGCAGAGUAGCUCUGGUGUUACAAGGACUGGUAGGGAACAAAGAAGCUUAGUAAAUAAAUAGAACCUCAGAGAGUUUUUUAAAGUUAUAGCAACCAAUUGAUCAAACCUUGGAAAUUGUAGCAAGCUGCUGAUCUCCUAGCUGGGCUGGAGAUUUGUACAUGACUGUUUGCUCUUGUGUGGAGGAGAUCCCACCAGAACGGGUGAAUUUGUACCUUCAUCUUUUCUCGGGAGAUUAUCUAUGAAAACUGCAGACAAAAAACUAAGCCCUGAGAUUUGGCAUCCCUAUGUUUUUGGCUCUUGCCUGGCUGUUACAGAAGAAUGUCCUAAUAGUGUUAGGCAGGUGCUUCAGCAUCAUGUUCUGAAUAUUUAAUGAACUAUUAAAUUAAUUCUGUUUUUAACAGGAUGUCUUAUUUAAAGAUUGUUCUUUUAGGUAAAUUUUGUUAUCAUCUGUGUUGUCUGCCACAUUAUGCCUUGUGGGAUUAAAGCACAGUUUAACUUAAAUAAUAACAUUAAUGUGGGCCCUUAAAAGUCAUCCCAAGCAAUGUGUAUAUAAUGAGAGGUUUGCUGUUUGCCCUGUGCAUUCCCACAUACUUUUUGUGUGGUUUAAAAGUGCUCAAGAGACUAUGUUCUAAAUUUCAGCAGAAAUAGAUUUCUUUGUAAAAGCCACAGUUGCUGUAUGAGCUGAUAAAUGAAUGGCAGUGCUUUCUGCCACUAUUAACAAAACCAUCUCUGCAAUUACUACAGUACACUUACCCUUGGUUUUUGUAAUAUGCAUAUUAAGGUUAUCUUAUUGGGAGCUUGAUUUCUGGAAAUACAAUUACCUUUUUAAACCAAAUUAUGGUGAAAAACUUUUAUUAUAGAACUAAAGAAAAAGUCAGAUACACAGAACAGGGUGGUUAUAAUGAAAAAUCUAUAAAAUAUGACAAGCUAUAAAGAUUUCUAGAAAGAACACAGAUGAUAAUUAGAGUUAAAUUAAGUCUCUGUUACAAUGUCUUUUUUGUUUCAUUUCAAAAAAGUUUAUCUUGUCUCAAUUGCUUUCUCUUUUAAUUUAAUAGUUACAAUCACCUAAUUUAUUUUACUCAAUUAACUUAUGCGCUUUAAUAAGUGCUAUCCUUUAUUGAAUUGCUGGUUCCUGUA
ensembl:lncRNA